ACUCCAGUAGCGGCGGGAGCAGCAGCGUUAGGCCGGGGUGUGGCUGCACCUCUGCGAAGGCUGUCGUGCCCCGUGCAGCUGCGGCGUUCGGGUGGGGGAGGGGAGGCUCACACCCUGCGGCGGCUUAAGCCUGGAUUUACGCACUGGAGGAGGGAAUUAGCCCUGAGAUGUCAGCCCUGUGCCCCUGGCGCUGUCCACCCGGACGCCCGCGGAGCGCCAGGCGCCGCAGCGGACCGCGCGCGCACUGAUUGCCGCAGCUACUCUCCCUGCCGUCGCCGCCCGGGACCGGGUGACAUUGAGGUUUUCGUCUAUCGCCGCUGGGCCGAUAGGGCUUCUUUUUAAGAUUUGGCUUUCCAAGUAAGAUUUUUGUUUGCCUGCUUUUCUCCUGGAAUUUUUUUGUUUUUGGUCGAAGAAGCAGGUAACUUGCAUAUCUUAAGGAAAACAUUGUUUUUGCUUUGCUUUUGUUGUUUAAAGAUCCUAAAACGUACCGUGAUUCCUUUACGUUACUAAUAAUUGGAAAGUGUGUUAAAUCAAGGGUUCGCUUAAUGUUCUUUAGCCUUUGUACAUAGAAUAUAUAAAUGUCGUGAGUCAUCUUUA
rnacentral:lncRNA from 10 species